GACGAACGCUGGCGGCGUGCUUAACACAUGCAAGUCGAACGAUGAAACCGGAGCUUGCUCCGGUGGAUUAGUGGCGAACGGGUGAGUAACACGUGAGUAACCCGCCCUUGACUCUGGGAUAACUGCGGGAAACUGUAGCUAAUACCGGAUACGACCCUCGGAGGCAUCUCCUGGGGGUGGAAAGAAUUUCGGUCAAGGAUGGACUCGCGGCCUAUCAGCUAGUGGGUGAGGUAACGGCUCACCAAGGCGACGACGGGUAGCCGGCCUGAGAGGGUGACCGGCCACACUGGGACUGAGACACGGCCCAGACUCCUACGGGAGGCAGCAGUGGGGAAUAUUGCGCAAUGGGCGAAAGCCUGACGCAGCAACGCCGCGUGCGGGAUGACGGCCUUCGGGUUGUAAACCGCUUUCAGCAGGGAAGAAGCCGCAAGGUGACGGUACCUGCAGAAGAAGCACCGGCUAACUACGUGCCAGCCGCCGCGGUAA
rnacentral:rRNA from 1 species